AUUCUUCUUUAACAUUACUCAUCUUCUUAUCUAUUUUGAAUUAAUUCAUGCAUUGUGCUAGAAAUCCGCUGUCCGCUUACCAUACUUGGCACAUGAAGCGACAAGAAUCUACAGGUCGAGCAAGUCUCGUAAAUUUCACGAUUGCGAGCCACGCUUCACGCAACCGUGUUUGCGUACUUGUGUUUCAAGUUGCGUGGUCGUACGGAGUUAUAUUUACCAAAUUUAAAUAUAAUCGUUUUCAAAAUUAAAUCAAUAUGUCAAUAUGGCUACUGGGUGUAAAAGAUAAAUCUUAUUCUAUCUGUUCUUAAUGAGUUUUAGAUAAUUUUAGUUGUAUUUCUUUGUAAUUUUGUGUUGUACAAAGAUUAAUUUAACAUUUUCUCUGGAAGUAUUAAUUUAGAAAGAUAAUAUGCUUCAUUGGUGUUGUGUUUUGAAGUGUGAAAUGUGAUAAGUCAAGAUAAAGUUCACUUUUAAACUGAACUAAAUAAGGUAUCUGAGAGACAACAAUGGUUAAAUGCAAUACAAUGUACAGGUUUUACUAGCGAAAUGAAAAUUUUCCUGUCCUGUCUGCUGUAAUCAUUUUAUAUCUGGAAAACCAGCCGACUUAAUAGAUAAUAACAAUCUCCAGAUUGGGUUCCUUCAAUAAAUAUGGUCUAUAAACACAAUGAAAUAAGUUCCCCAAAAUCUAAAAUGGAGUGGUAUCAAAGGAGAAUUAAAGGGAAAAAUAUUCAUAUUGAAAUUAUUUAUAAGGCACUGGACUGUCUUAAAUUCUACAAUAAUACUAGAAUCAGCUGAGAGAAGUGGUCUACAAAAAAAACCAGGAAGGAAACGGAAUAUGUGGCUACGAAAGGCAAAAGAAAGGUUUACAAAGCAAAUGUGACACAUUUUUUUGAAAUAUUUAGGAAUAUCAGUAAAUUGCAUUAAAAAAAUGUAUGAAAAGAUUUUGUUCAAUAAAAAUGUUUAUAUUUA